AGAGUUUGAUCAUGGCUCAGGACGAACGCUGGCGGCGUGCUUAACACAUGCAAGUCGAACGGUGAAGCCCUUCGGGGUGGAUCAGUGGCGAACGGGUGAGUAACACGUGGGCAAUCUGCCCUGCACUCUGGGACAAGCCCUGGAAACGGGGUCUAAUACCGGAUAUGACCUUCCUCUGCAUGGGGGUUGGUGGAAAGCUCCGGCGGUGCAGGAUGAGCUCGCGGCCUAUCAGCUUGUUGGUGGGGUGAUGGCCUACCAAGGCGACGACGGGUAGCCGGCCUGAGAGGGCGACCGGCCACACUGGGACUGAGACACGGCCCAGACUCCUACGGGAGGCAGCAGUGGGGAAUAUUGCACAAUGGGCGAAAGCCUGAUGCAGCGACGCCGCGUGAGGGAUGACGGCCUUCGGGUUGUAAACCUCUUUCAGCAGGGAAGAAGCGCAAGUGACGGUACCUGCAGAAGAAGCACCGGCUAACUACGUGCCAGCAGCCGCGGUA
rnacentral:rRNA from 1 species